AGAGUUUGAUCCUGGCUCAGGAUGAACGCUAGCUACAGGCUUAACACAUGCAAGUCGAGGGGCAGCAUGAACUUAGCUUGCUAAGUUUGAUGGCGACCGGCGCACGGGUGAGUAACACGUAUCCAACCUGCCGAUGACUCGGGGAUAGCCUUUCGAAAGAAAGAUUAAUACCCGAUGGCAUAUUUCUUCCGCAUGGUAGAACUAUUAAAGAAUUUCGGUCAUCGAUGGGGAUGCGUUCCAUUAGGUUGUUGGCGGGGUAACGGCCCACCAAGCCUUCGAUGGAUAGGGGUUCUGAGAGGAAGGUCCCCCACAUUGGAACUGAGACACGGUCCAAACUCCUACGGGAGGCAGCAGUGAGGAAUAUUGGUCAAUGGACGAGAGUCUGAACCAGCCAAGUAGCGUGAAGGAUGACUGCCCUAUGGGUUGUAAACUUCUUUUAUACGGGAAUAAAGUGAGGCACGUGUGCCUUUUUGUAUGUACCGUAUGAAUAAGGAUCGGCUAACUCCGUGCCAGCAGCCGCGGUAAUACGGAGGAUCCGAGCGUUAUCCGGAUUUAUUGGGUUUAAAGGGAGCGUAGGCGGACGCUUAAGUCAGUUGUGAAAGUUUGCGGCUCAACCGUAAAAUUGCAGUUGAUACUGGAUAUCUUGAGUGCAGUUGAGGCAGGCGGAAUUCGUGGUGUAGCGGUGAAAUGCUUAGAUAUCACGAAGAACUCCGAUUGCGAAGGCAGCCUGCUAAGCUGCAACUGACAUUGAGGCUCGAAAGUGUGGGUAUCAAACAGGAUUAGAUACCCUGGUAGUCCACACGGUAAACGAUGAAUACUCGCUGUUUGCGAUAUACGGCAAGCGGCCAAGCGAAAGCGUUAAGUAUUCCACCUGGGGAGUACGCCGGCAACGGU
rnacentral:rRNA from 1 species